rnacentral:rRNA from 1 species
GACAUAGGUGGCAAACGUUAUCCGGAAUUACUGGGCGUAAAGAGUGCGUAGGUAGUUCAAUAAGUUACUGGUGGGAAAUCGGGGCUCAACCUCGUGGAAGUCAGUAAUACUAUUAAACUAGAGGGUCGGAGAGGUUAACGGAAUUCUAUGUGUAGCGGUAAAAUGCUUAAAUAUAUAGAGGAACACCAAACGGCGAAGGCAGUUAACUAUUCGAUUCCUGACGUUGAGGCACGAAAGCGUGGGGAGCAAGACGG